GGCGAUGAAGGACGUGCUAAUCUGCGAUAAGCGUCGGUAAGGUGAUAUGAACCGUUAUAACCGGCGAUUUCCGAAUGGGGAAACCCAGUGUGUUUCGACACACUAUCAUUAACUGAAUCCAUAGGUUAAUGAGGCGAACCGGGGGAACUGAAACAUCUAAGUACCCCGAGGAAAAGAAAUCAACCGAGAUUCCCCCAGUAGCGGCGAGCGAACGGGGAGCAGCCCAGAGCCUGAAUCAGUAUGUGUGUUAGUGGAAGCGUCUGGAAAGGCGCGCGAUACAGGGUGACAGCCCCGUACACAAAAAUGCACAUGCUGUGAGCUCGAUGAGUAGGGCGGGACACGUGGUAUCCUGUCUGAAUAUGGGGGGACCAUCCUCCAAGGCUAAAUACUCCUGACUGACCGAUAGUGAACCAGUACCGUGAGGGAAAGGCGAAAAGAACCCCGGCGAGGGGAGUGAAAAAGAACCUGAAACCGUGUACGUACAAGCAGUGGGAGCACGCUUAGGCGUGUGACUGCGUACCUUUUGUAUAAUGGGUCAGCGACUUAUAUUCUGUAGCAAGGUUAACCGAAUAGGGGAGCCGAAGGGAAACCGAGUCUUAACUGGGCGUUAAGUUGCAGGGUAUAGACCCGAAACCCGGUGAUCUAGCCAUGGGCAGGUUGAAGGUUGGGUAACACUAACUGGAGGACCGAACCGACUAAUGUUGAAAAAUUAGCGGAUGACUUGUGGCUGGGGGUGAAAGGCCAAUCAAACCGGGAGAUAGCUGGUUCUCCCCGAAAGCUAUUUAGGUAGCGCCUCGUGAAUUCAUCUCCGGGGGUAGAGCACUGUUUCGGCAAGGGGGUCAUCCCGACUUACCAACCCGAUGCAAACUGCGAAUACCGGAGAAUGUUAUCACGGGAGACACACGGCGGGUGCUAACGUCCGUCGUGAAGAGGGAAACAACCCAGACCGCCAGCUAAGGUCCCAAAGUCAUGGUUAAGUGGGAAACGAUGUGGGAAGGCCCAGACAGCCAGGAUGUUGGCUUAGAAGCAGCCAUCAUUUAAAGAAAGCGUAAUAGCUCACUGGUCGAGUCGGCCUGCGCGGAAGAUGUAACGGGGCUAAACCAUGCACCGAAGCUGCGGCAGCGACGCUGAUGCGUUGUUGGGUAGGGGAGCGUUCUGUAAGCCUGCGAAGGUGUACUGUGAGGUAUGCUGGAGGUAUCAGAAGUGCGAAUGCUGACAUAAGUAACGAUAAAGCGGGUGAAAAGCCCGCUCGCCGGAAGACCAAGGGUUCCUGUCCAACGUUAAUCGGGGCAGGGUGAGUCGACCCCUAAGGCGAGGCCGAAAGGCGUAGUCGAUGGGAAACAGGUUAAUAUUCCUGUACUUGGUGUUACUGCGAAGGGGGGACGGAGAAGGCUAUGUUGGCCGGGCGACGGUUGUCCCGGUUUAAGCGUGUAGGCUGGUUUUCCAGGCAAAUCCGGAAAAUCAAGGCUGAGGCGUGAUGACGAGGCACUACGGUGCUGAAGCAACAAAUGCCCUGCUUCCAGGAAAAGCCUCUAAGCAUCAGGUAACAUCAAAUCGUACCCCAAACCGACACAGGUGGUCAGGUAGAGAAUACCAAGGCGCUUGAGAGAACUCGGGUGAAGGAACUAGGCAAAAUGGUGCCGUAACUUCGGGAGAAGGCACGCUGAUAUGUAGGUGAAGUCCCUCGCGGAUGGAGCUGAAAUCAGUCGAAGAUACCAGCUGGCUGCAACUGUUUAUUAAAAACACAGCACUGUGCAAACACGAAAGUGGACGUAUACGGUGUGACGCCUGCCCGGUGCCGGAAGGUUAAUUGAUGGGGUCAGCGCAAGCGAAGCUCUUGAUCGAAGCCCCGGUAAACGGCGGCCGUAACUAUAACGGUCCUAAGGUAGCGAAAUUCCUUGUCGGGUAAGUUCCGACCUGCACGAAUGGCGUAAUGAUGGCCAGGCUGUCUCCACCCGAGACUCAGUGAAAUUGAACUCGCUGUGAAGAUGCAGUGUACCCGCGGCAAGACGGAAAGACCCCGUGAACCUUUACUAUAGCUUGACACUGAACAUUGAGCCUUGAUGUGUAGGAUAGGUGGGAGGCUUUGAAGUGUGGACGCCAGUCUGCAUGGAGCCGACCUUGAAAUACCACCCUUUAAUGUUUGAUGUUCUAACGUUGACCCGU
rnacentral:rRNA from 1 species